rnacentral:rRNA from 1 species
AUUGAACGCUGGCGGCAGGCCUAACACAUGCAAGUCGAGCGGAUCGCGGGACGGGGGAGUAAGGCCUAGGAAUGGGAAUGUGAGUGGGGGAGAACGCAAGGAAACGGGAGCUGAUACCGCAAACUAUCAGAUGAGCCUAGGGCGGAUUAGCUAGUGGGUGGGGGAAAGGCCUACCAAGGCGACGAUCCGUAGCUGGUCGGAGAGGAUGAUCAGCCACACUGGAACUGAGACACGGUCCAGACUCCUACGGGAGGCAGCAGUGGGGAAUAUUGGACAAUGGGCGAAAGCCUGAUCCAGCCAGGCCGCGUGUGUGAAGAAGGUCUUCGGAUUGUAAAGCACUUUAAGUGGGGAGGCGUUACCCACAGAAUAAGCACCGGCUAACUUCGUGCCAGCAGCCGCGGUAAUUC